AUACGGAGGGUGCGAGCGUUAAUCGGAAUUACUGGGCGUAAAGCGUGCGUAGGCGGUUUGUUAAGUCAGAAGUGAAAGCCCUGGGCUCAACCUGGGAACGGCUUUUGAGACUGGCAGACUCGAGUUGAGUAGAGGGGAGUGGAAUUUCCGGUGUAGCGGUGAAAUGCGUAGAGAUCGGAAGGAACACCAGUGGCGAAGGCGACUCCCUGGACUCAAACUGACGCUGAGGUACGAAAGCGAGGGUAGCAAACAGGAUUAGAUACCCUAGUAGUCC
rnacentral:rRNA from 1 species